CAUAUACAAGUAUUUUUUUUUUUCUUUUAGCCCAGCUCUGAUUGCCUCUCAUUUAGUUCUGCCUGACUCGCUACUACCUGAAACCUAGGGAUCUCUUUGCCAAGGAGAAGCUGUGUUUUAUGAUGUGCAGAUGUGCCCAAAUUAAACGUCCUGAAGACACUCACAGCUGCAGGAAUAGAAGCAGGUGCCUGGAUGUAGAGUGAUGAGAAGACACCAUCUGCCGUAAAGGAGCUCACCUUGACUCACGUGGCCCAGCAACGUCUCAUCAGCUAAGAACUCUAGAUUAUUAUACAAAAUCAUCAUGUUUGUCUUGUGAUGACAGAUUGGAAUUUAUUUCUCCAAUCCAAAACACCGGUCAAUGGAAUACAAACUACCCUUGUCCAAGGACCAAUCGGGUUUUCUGUGAAGGCUCAGAGAGGUUCUGCAACUUGACCACAUCACACAGCGAUGGAGCCUAGAUUUAGCCCAAUCAUUUUUUUCUCUAUUAACCCCAAACCAAAAGACCAGAGGGCCCAAAGAAAGCUGAGAAGGUUGACUGCUGUGCAUUGCCUUUAAGUGAGCAAAUCAUUGUUCUUAAUAAUAGAAAACAUGGCUGUGUGCUAUAGUUGAAGAAAGGUGAAAAAAUAGAAAAAUGUAUUGAGCUUGGUUAACAAUUAAAAGAAUAAAUAAAUUAAUUUAUUCACAUAAUUUCAGUCAGUGGAAAAUAUCUGGAAAUCAAUUUUGCAGAGGAGACUUUGACCUAUUGACUUUAGCGAUGACUCAGUGGGUGUUGAAAUUAUCUUGACUUCAGGUUUAGAAGGUAAAUAAAAGGUAAGUCAUUACAUUAUUUCUGGUUAAAUGUUUUCCAGGAGCAUGAGAGUCAAUGCAGAACAUCACAUCCAUCUGUCCUGCUGGUCUCUGUCAUCAACUUUUGAUGUCUUCAAAACAAGGUGAGUGGCACUUUCAGACAAGAAGGAAGAUUGUCCUCAGAUGGUCACACUGGGUCUGGCUGUACAGCACUAUGUUGGUUAUUAUAAACACACAAGAAAAGUGUAAGCUGUGGUUCCUGCCCUCAGCUGACAUUAAAUCCACAGGAACACAAUGCCCCGAAUUGGAAAGGGUCUCAUGGGACAACAGUGUCUAUGUUAUUUUUAAUCUUGUGUCCCUAGGGCCUGCCUCCUGCCUAGCGCAGAUUGGGCCCCUAUGCACGAUUGCUGUCUGAGAGGCACUAGGGCAACUUCCCACUCAGCUCAGAGGCCCCCCUCCAGUGUGUGUGGCGUUUACUUGAAGACAUUUACAUACAGGAAUCUCUCCACCAUGCUGGCAGUCCAUUCUAUUGUUAAAUCACUCUUUCCUUCAUAUCGAGUCAAGACCUGCCUACCUUGUAACCUCACAAAUGGACCCAGAUUCUCCCCUCAAGAUCUACGUAGCCUAAGUCAAUUCUCUGGUCUAUAUGUUGGGCUGUAGGUAUUUAGGGAUAUCCAUGUUGUAUCAUGCUACCCUUCUCUGACCUCUGUUAUUUCUUUCUUCAGGUACUUCUCAGGUGUCUUAGUUUUGAGACCACCUCAUCAUCUUAUUGAAUAGGCAAGUCUGGCACCAGUGGUUAGAAAUAGGAUGAAUCAUCUUGUCACUGGGGGUCAUAGCGAUCUGAGUGGAGGCAAACUUGUACAUGCACAGGUGAAGGGCAAUUCAGGAAUUAGUAGAUAGUGACAUAGGCCACUUGCCACUCAUAGGACAGGAGGAUUUUUCCUGGUUUCCAAAGACUUACCUGGACUCUCAAAAGGAGUUACAAUGAGACUGAAAAACAGAGAGACCAUUCUUCUCCAUAGAUUGCCUUGAAUAGACUUCUUAAAAGUGGAGAGGGAAAAUGUAUGAGGCUAGUUAGUGGAAGACCAGUAAGAGGGGACCAAGUCUCCAUUCAUCUUGAAUCUAACAAGGCUCUCAGCUGGUAGCAUGUCUUCACUACUUGUUACAUGAUCUCUAGAAAACAUGUAGGGAUGUGGAACGUCGUUGCUUCUGGCAUUCUUGUUAGAACAUUAGAAGGCGACAGCUUGAAAUAGAGAGGGUGCCAAUCACAGGGCCAGGGCAGGUAAUGUGGGCACUUUUCUCUUUCCAUGCUGGGAUUGUGCAACAGGCAGCCACAUCAUUCAGCACAUUAAGCCACAAUUGAGCCUCCAGGACUCAGAUUGUAAUGGAGACUGAGGCAGCGUGAGGAUGCAUAUUAGCAUGAAGGUAAGGGUAAGAUGGAGAGGGAUGGGAUGGGUAGGGAGGAAAGAAUGGGAGCAGCUUAGCAUGAGUAGGAGUCCUGCACUCGGAGUCAGAACUGACCCCUGGUGCCACUAUUUAUUAGCUAUGUGAGCUAACUAGAGAUUUCAUCUUGCUAUGCCUUAGUUUCUUCAUCUGUGAAAUAUGGGCAAUAAAACCUGGCUAGUAGAUAUGUGCUAAGGAUUUAGUGAGAACAUUUGCAAAUUCUCCACCUCGGGUGGUACACGGUGAACUAUCAAUAAAUGGGGGCUCUUUUUAAAAUUUAAAAAAAUUGUAUAAUUUUUUUGUUUUGGAGAGAGGGAGAGUGCACUUGAGCAGGGGAGAGAGGCAGAGAGAGAGAG